rnacentral:rRNA from 1 species
UACGGGGGGGGCAAGCGUUGUUCGGAAUUACUGGGCGUAAAGGGCUCGUAGGCGGCCAACUAAGUCGGAUGUGAAAUCCCCAGGCUUAACCUGGGAACUGCAUUCGAGACUGCAUUGCUAGAGUAUGGGAGAGGGAAGUGGAAUUUCCGGUGUAGCGGUGAAAUGCGUAGAUAUCUGGAGGAAUACCGGUGGCGAAGGCGGCAUCCUGGACCGGCAUUGACGCUGAGGAGCGAAAGCCAGGGGAGCAAACGGG